UAAUACGUAGGGGGCAAGCGUUGUCCGGAAUUAUUGGGCGUAAAGGGUGCGUAGGCGGCUUUUUAAGUCAGAUGUGAAAGACCACAGCUUAACUGUGGGGUUGCAUUUGAAACUGGAGAGCUUGAGUAUCGGAGAGGGUAGUGGAAUUCCUGGAGUAGCGGUGAAAUGCGUAGAUAUCAGGAGGAACACCAGUGGCGAAGGCGACUACCUGGACGAAAACUGACGCUGAGGCACGAAAGCUAGGGGAGCAAACAGG
rnacentral:rRNA from 1 species